UACAGAGGGUGCGAGCGUUGUUCGGAAUCACUGGGCGUAAAGGGCGCGUAGGCGGCUAUUCAAGUCGGGGGUGAAAGCCUGUGGCUCAACCACAGAAUUGCCUUCGAUACUGUUUGGCUUGAGACCGGAAGAGGACAGCGGAACUGCGAGUGUAGAGGUGAAAAUUCGUAGAUAUUCGCAAGAACACCAGUGGCGAAGGCGGCUGUCUGGUCCGGUUCUGACGCUGAGGCGCGAAAGCGUGGGG
rnacentral:rRNA from 1 species